CUUUUAAAAAAGGCCAAGAUAAUUAAACAAGUUAUUUUAUCCCAUUGUGAUUAUCUCUUUAUCUUACAAUUUUCAUGUAUUUUUAGUUGAAUAAUUCACAUUCAAAACAUCGUAUAUAAUAUUCUUUGGAAUCGUUAAACCACCUACAACCGAGAGGAACAAAAUCCAUUUAUCCACGUAAUCGUUUAAAUAGAAAAAUCAUUGUUGAAAUGUAUUAACCAUUAGACUUAACUUUGUAUAUUUUUUUAAGAAAACUAAAAU
rnacentral:lncRNA from 1 species